AGUUCCUAGCCCCUGAUACGAUACAUAUUUAUGGUAAGAUAGGUAGGUAUUGCGAACGAGCACGGAGCUCGAUUAGCAAAGUUGCAGAGAACGGUCAAGUCUACUUAGGUUUGAUUCUCGGAUAUCGCACAUCUAUAUCUGGCCUGUAAAGAAGGUCCCGGGUAAGGAGACCCAGUUCCUUCAAAAAAUGAUAGGUAGGUACAACUAAAACAAACGAACUAUGCAGCUCGCUGCCAAAACAUGUAACCUCAACGACGCAGACGAAUGGGGCCCGACGUAGAAAGGAAUAAACAUGGAGUCAUAACUAACUGUCAUUUGACGGUGUGAAGAUAAUGUUCCCGUGUGUGAGUAAGUCAGCAGAUGCUUCAAUUGAUCCGCGGAUGUUUAGUGAAAUAACAACAAAACCAGUAAAUUUUCUGUACAUCUAGCAUCGUUGUAUAUUCUUAAACUGCAUGUUGCUUAGAUAUUUGUCACAAAUUUGCUAUCAAGUUUAGAAAUCAAAUCUGACCAGACGAAUAUGAGAUGACGUUUCAUCGCGCAGUCCUUUGUGUGAAGAUCAUGACAAGUCAGGCUUCGCUUGUUUGGAUGCAUGUUGCGCCCCCAAAACCGGCUCCUGCCUUUUGCUCCUUUCGAAAUCUGAAGCUUUGCGUACUUGAAUAGCUGCAGAUGGUUUUUGAUGGAGAUUUGGUGCAUGCAUUCGAUUUCUGUAGGUCGAGGAAAAUUGGACCAACAGAGGCAGCCAGAACAUCUCUAAAAAGAGGGGGGAAACAGAUGGAGGGAAAGCUUCAGAAUCUUCUCUGUUAGAAUAUGCCAAGGAACAAUAUAUUAAAAAGUUGGAGGAAAAAAAAACAAGUAGGAGAAGGCAAACGGCAUUACAAACUCACUAAAAAAAGGAAUAAGAAAUUGCAAUAUCUUGCAGCAAAUAGAUCAUCGUGCUCCUUCAACAGAUUUUUAUGAAAAUAUCUGCCAAAUACAAUCACUUCAACCAUAGUUGUGUUGACCACAUCAAAAUCUUUGCAGAAUUGGAAUGAUGUAUAAUCAAAACAUGUAUUGCCUGCCUCAGGUUUAGUAUCAUGCAAUAGUGUAUGAAAUAGAUAUUCACUUGGACAACAGACUCCUUUUCAAAUCUUACAACAAAUUUACAUGGCACAACACGGACUACAAAUGGUGAAUGCAUACUCGCUACCGUUAUAAUGUGGUAAAAACACUAACAAUUUACAUGACACAACAUGGGCUACAAAUGGUAUCCCUCCCUCCCUUGUGGACCAAACACAUAGAAGCGACCGUACGGCUCCUUUUUUGUUUGAUCGCAAAAGUGGACUCGGGUGCAAAAAGAAGUGACAGGGGACGUGCUGGCUGGCGCACACCACCUCGCCUUCUCCACCUCACCGCCACUCCACUCCUCCCCUCCCUGGCUCCCUCCCUCCCUUUGAGUCUCCGGAGGCCGCGUCUCCUCGGCGACAUCACCGCCACGUCGGUCGCCCCCUCCCUCCCCGCCCCUCUCUGCUUAUUCUUCUAUGUUAUUUCUAUUUGGCUUUCUUCCCUCCGUCCACGAUCGCGGCGCGCAACUCCGGGAAGGGCAUGCAGGUUUCGUUCCUUCUAAGACGCCAUCGGCGCGAUCCCUGCCCGCCUUGCGGUUCACGAAAGAUCAGCGUGCUCCUUUCUUGCGUGUGCGGCUGUGGGGCUGUUGGUUUUGGUCGAUUCGCUUGGUGUGUUUCUAUUUUUGGUAACUCCCAGUUCGUCGAACCACAUUUGGUGUUGCCCAGUGGGGUUCUUGCAAUGUGGGUUUUGGGUAGGACACUUACUCACAUGACAUAGGGGGCCUUUAGUUGCUCACAUGCCUGCAUCUCAGCUAGGUUGAGUGCAUGCAGUAAUAAUUUAUUUAGUUGGUUGCAUGUGUUUAGCCUAGCUAAGAAAAUAUUAUAUUUAGUUGUCUGUAUAUAUAUAUAUGUUGUAUGAGAUUAAAAUAAAAAAGCAAGUGUUAACAUGAUGUUUAUUUUGCAUAAAUACACUCUAUAGUACUUAAUUUAUCCUAUUAAGUCUUAAUCUAAUUUGAAAUGUAGUAGUAUGAGUUAAUACUCACUAAUUAUACGGUAAUACCAUUAUUAGUUGAGUCAGGCCUACAUCCCACGAGUCUGGCUCUGGAGAAAUGCAAUUGAAAUCUGUUUCCUGCAAGCCAAGCUCACACAAUGAUUUUGCAUCCUGUGAGCUAGGCUCCGGAGGUGGUACAGGCAACUAAACACUAGGAUGCUGCAUCCCGUGAGCCUGGUUAAGGCAUAUGCACCCAACCAAAUAAGUCCAUAGUGUCUAAAUGACAUGUUAGCCGAAGAGUAUGGGCAUAUCUGUGCUUCAGAUCAUUUAUUUGUCUAGUGUGAUGUCUAUCAACAGAAAUGUGUAAUGUGUGUGAAAGCCAGCCUGCUUUCAUGUUCUAUAAAUUCAAGUUGCAUCUUACAAGGUACAACUACUCUAUGGAUAGUUGAAUCAUUUUAAUUUAUUGCCCAUUGAGUGCAGCGUUCCUUUUGGUUCAUUAGUUGGUAAUUGUAGCCCUAUGAAAGACAUGUUCAUAGUUCCAAGGGCAGUGAAUAGAAGUGAUUAUGUUUCUGUCUUCAGUUCCCAUAAUGGUGAAUUUCAAUGUCUAUAUUUGUAAAUUUUAAUGUUGGGAGUCUCAAAAUGUACUGAUUUCUAUAUGUUAAUUGAAUUGCUAGCAUACUGGUGGGUUCUUAUGGUGAACAAUAGGGCAAACCCUACUGAAAUCAUGCUUUUGUUAACUGAAUCCUGUGUCCUUUAUCAUACAGGUAAAAAAAUCGUCAUGAGGACUUUUCACGGUCAUAAUGUUGAAGUGCAUAUUAUUGAUGACGAUGAUGAUGGAAGACACACUAAAGCAGCUUGUCCUUUACAAUCCUGAUAUCACACAUGACAAACAAAGGGUAGUUGAAGUUACUGAGCCCAUAGAUCACUAUACAUCACUGCAACAAAGUUCCAAGAAUCCAAGAUAUGGAUAUGGCACGGUUCUACCUUCUAUUGGUGCUUAUACUGUGCAGUGUGCCUACUGCUACAAAUGGAGGGUCGUUCCAACAAAAGAAAAAAUGAAGAGCUACAAAAGGAGCUUUUUGUAUGCGCAAGUUCUCAUGGAUGGAACCGUGUUUUAUCAUGUGAUGACCCAGAAGAUAUGUCACAAGAUGGAAGUAGGGCGUGGGCAACUGAUAAGCCAAACAUUGUUCAACCUCCUCCUGACUGGGACAGGGAGGUCAGAAUCAGGGGGGCUUCCAGCAAGUUCGCAGAUGUGUAUUACACUUCUCCAUCUGGAAAAAAAGUUGAGGUCGUUCGUUGAAAUCAGGAGGUAGUUGGCAGAGAACCCAUACUACAUUAGACAAGGGGUUAGCUUAUCUCAGUUUUCAUUUGCUACUCCCAAACCUCUGCAUGAAGACUAUGUUCAAAAGCGUACAUUUGGAGAAGCUCAUGAAGUACCAGAGCUUCCUGAGGCAGCACAAGUUGAUCCACUGUGUUGGGCAGCACCUCAGAGAACUGCUCGGUGAACCUGGCGCUUCAACUUCGGAUCCUGUUUCACAGAACUGUGAAGCAAGUGUCGUCGAGGAAGUGCCGAAGGACUCCACCACCAGCAACUUGUUCAUUCCAAGAACAAUCUGGAGGGCACUCGAACGGCAUUGAGCAUGUGCUGUUGCGAACUCUGGGGCAGUAGCUUCCUCGCUGUUGGCCUGCUCUUGUUUCGGUGUCAUUUUGCUGCACCUGUGCUCAAAAGGUCAUCAACUUAGUGAGUCUAUGAUGCGGUUGAUCAGAUGAGCUAAGCAUCGAAUCUUGGUAAUGUAGAUAUGGCAGCUGGUAUGUAUGAGAGACCGUGCAGAAUGUUUGGUGUAUUUCCAUGCUAAAUCGAUAUCGUAGGGCUACUGCUACUACUGUAACUUGAAGGCUGGAGCAGACCAUAUUGUAUCUCCCGAAGCUUCUAGAUGUUCCGGUUUCUGUUCUAACUGUUUGGGCUGCCAGAGCUUCUGGAUGGUUUGGUUGUUGUGCUACAUAGUGCUACUUACAGCUUCUCUAAUCGAGGUCGGUCGCUACUGCUGAU